UGCUGUGUUUUUCGUUCUUAUUAAACUAGUCUUGGAUUUGGUACAACAAUGGGUCUUGCUGUCUUUGUGGAUGUGACAUUGAUAUCCUUUUAAUGCAGGUCAAAAAAACCAUGUCCUCUUCAUAAUCCUCCUUUUUGGGUUUGUUUUUACUAAGGCUUCGUAUGUAGAAUGCUCAUCUCAAUGCAUCCUCAAGUUGGAUAAGCCUCUAGGAAAUUGGCUCAAGUUUGCUGUCUGAAUACUCGAAGUUAUGCCUAUUUAUGGUGACUAGAUAAGGCCAUAAAUUGUGAAUACUACUGCCUAUCAUCUUUCCAUUCAUAUGAUGCUUACUUCUUUUUAUGCCUUUGUUUAGAAUCAGUUAGUAUUCAGAUCUGAACAAUGAGGAAGAACUUUUUGUAAUUGCUGUGAACAAUCAUUUCAUUUUUACUCCAGUAGGAAACUGUUCAUUAAAAUAAAAUGGAAAUAAGGAAGGUAGUGGUGUUUGCUUCUAAUA